rnacentral:snoRNA from 1 species
UGGAAGUGAUGAAACAGAGAUAAUUGGGUGUUGAAUGUUGUGUGAUUGAACAAUUUUAGUAUGUAAGUAAUAAACCUAAGUUAAUAGCUGCUUGAUAGAGAGUGUGUGUGUGUGUGUGUGUGGUGGAGGCUAUGGAAAGGGGGCACUGACUGGUGAUGCUGAUAUUGGAGUGCAUCUGAGGCUGUUGUAGAAAUGCAUGGGUUCUUGAUUACAACAUUGCUGAUGAUUAUAAUCCAAGAACAGCUCACCUAAGUAGCCUAGCACCCUAAAAUCUCUAACAGGUUCAUUAAACAUGGUCCUGUGAUCUGAUCCAA